UAUUAGCGACGAAGCGAGAGGUUGCGACACACCCGAAAGUAUUGCCAUACUUCAGUGUCGGUUUUCCCGCUGAGCUAGCCUAUUAACAAAUAGACGA
rfam:Lactococcus garvieae Lg2 DNA, complete genome.